CUUAAUUAUUUUUUUAACGUUCAAUUUUGGUUCACUAACAACUAUUAAUAAUUUUAAGAAAAAUAAAAUCUCUCUAGCAAUUUUGUUUGUGGCUUACCGAUGACUAAAAAUCUCUCUGGUAAAUUUUUUAUAACUUAGUGGCAAUUUACUCACAUGUAUGAAGUUUUGCGAUCAUAUAGAUUUUCAUUGUCAUAUUAUUUUGUGAAAAAACAGAGUUUGGUACUCCUACUAAAAAAUCAUACGCAUAUAUAGUAUAGUUCAAUGAAAAGUGAGAUUAAUUUUUGUGUUGCAUCUGUAGUUUCUAAAGUUUUAUUCGUAUUCGAAUAUCUAAAUUUAUCAUGAAAUGAGUAGAAUAAUAUGAAUGCUUUCAACAUAUAUAAAAUCUCAUGCCACAAUAAUUUAAUGAAAUAAUGAGAUUUCAUGUAGUUCAUGAAAAAAGAGUGAGAGGCUGUACACAUGGGCUAAUUAACAAUUAAUAUAAGCUACAAGAUAUAUUAGAAGUAUACAAAAGUCUAUCAAAAUCUUGGUAAAAGUCUAUUAAACUCUAUCACUUAUUUCAUGGAGUCUAUAAAAGUCAUUUUAAAAAAGUCUUUAAAAGUCAUUAAAAUUCACAAACUCUAUAAAAGGCUGUCACUUAAAAAAAGUCUUUAAAAAUCUUAAUUGAAUACACCCCCUAAGUAUAUUGUAUAAAUUCUAUUUAGUAUGGGGUGGGAGUUAUAGAAAGGAGGAGUUUGUAAAGGGUUUGUAACUCCCUCCCCCAUCAUUACCUUAUAAUAUUAAUACUCCCUCUCUUAUCCCAAUUUGGUUGACCCGUGGGCCCCACAACAGCUACACUCCCUUAUUAAAAUAUUAAUAUAAUCAAUUUAAUCAUUUAAUAAACUAUUUUGACCAUUUUACCCUCUGUAGCCAAAUAUUUCGAUACUAAUAUCGAUUCCUACUACAUAGAAGUUCCGGACGUCAUGGGACUACCCGUUUCGUCAAAUUAGCCUCCGAAAUUUGUGGUUGACUUUUUACCCAAAAAAGUCAAUCGGUUAACUUUGACCAAAAAGUCAACCGCGAUAAAUUUUUGUGGUUACAGUCUAUCUUGACUAAUUUCGACGUUCCGCACUCAAAUACGCAGUCCACGUCUCUAAAUUCCGCUCCGAAAUCAAUCUCAUGUUUUAAUCCCAUCCCACGCAAUUAAUCAAUUUAAUUACAUAACUAACUCAAAUAUUUAAAUUCAUCUAAACCAACCAUUUACGCAUACCUCAUCACAUAACUUAAAAUUAAACAUGUAUGUAUAACACAUAUACAUCUAAUAAUAGAAAUCACACAAGAGUUUCACAUAAAUUCAUUUAUUGAUAAUUAAUAAAUUACAUAAUAAUCUCGGAUAUUACAGGUACACUCCCAAUUACUACCAGAACCUUGGAAACCAUAAUAAGGCUCUCUACUGCCCAUGCCAAACUGAAUUUAAGAAGACAAGUACUAUUUUGAUGCAUACAAUAUUUGAAUGCUGCAUAUCUUAUGCUUUUUUCACAAGUCCAGUGGCAUGUUAAUUAGGGAAUUUCUUAUGGAAUAUGAAGGAGUUAUAGAUUAGUGAUAAAUAUAUGAUCAUAGAUUUUUAUUUAUAUUUACCUAUGGUCCUAAUUUUUUUAUUGUCAAGUUACAAAUGUUUGACGAGUGUUGCAUUUGGUUAUUAACACUACAUUCACAAUGCUUAUUUUCUUAUAAAGGUUUUGAAAUCUGAUGUUGAGGUUGCCCUCAAAGUUCUAAACUUUGCCAUAUACCAUAAAGAGUUGACUG
rnacentral:lncRNA from 1 species